GCAGUCGUGGUCGAGUAGUUAAGGCGAUGGACUAGAAAUCCAUUGGGGGUCUCCCCACACAGGUUCGAAUCCUCUCGACUGCG
rnacentral:tRNA from 1 species